rnacentral:rRNA from 1 species
UACGGAGGAUCCAAGCGUUAUCCGGAAUCAUUGGGUUUAAAGGGUCCGUAGGCGGUUUUAUAAGUCAGUGGUGAAAUCUGGUCGCUCAACGAUCAAACGGCCAUUGAUACUGUAGAACUUGAAUUACUUGGAAGUAACUAGAAUAUGUAGUGUAGCGGUGAAAUGCUUAGAGAUUACAUGGAAUACCAAUUGCGAAGGCAGGUUACUACGAGUAUAUUGACGCUGAUGGACGAAAGCGUGGGGAGCGAACAGG